rnacentral:rRNA from 1 species
UACGGAGGGUGCGAGCGUUAAUCGGAAUUACUGGGCGUAAAGCGUACGCAGGCGGUUUGUUAAGCGAGAUGUGAAAGCCCCGGGCUUAACCUGGGAACUGCAUUUCGAACUGGCAGGCUAGAGUGUGAUAGAGGGUGGUAGAAUUUCAGGUGUAGCGGUGAAAUGCGUAGAGAUCUGAAGGAAUACCGAUGGCGAAGGCAGCCACCUGGGUCAACACUGACGCUCAUGUACGAAAGCGUGGGGAGCAAACAGGAUUAGAUACCCCGGUAGUCC